rnacentral:lncRNA from 1 species
UUGGGUUCUCUUGAGGAGAAGCCAUUUCCACAAGCACCAAGGUGGCUUGCAUGAGACGUGGAGAAUGAGUCACAUUUAUUACUUGAUUUCUUCAAGAAAAUGUGUCUGGACAAUCCCAGAUUAAAUCCCUAUUUUUUGGUCCUCUCUUGUUGCUUUCUAGUUGGUAAAAUUACAUAACCUAGAUGAGAUUAUUUAAGAACUUGGUUUAUCUGAGUCAAACCUUGUAUUCACGUUGACUAAAUCACCUGCAACCGGAUCAUAGAGAUGACAGAUAGAGGGUUUGCAGACAAGGGCAUGCUGAUUAGUUUGCUCUUUUCUUUUAAUUUUUUAACUAAGCAAACAAAUCAGAUAGGCUUAGGAUGACUAAAUUACCCCCUCACUAGUUAGAAAUUUCAAGGGCAAAAAAAAAAGAAAAAAACCUCCCAAAUGCCACACAUCCUAUAAGCACUAGAAGGCAAAAACCUCAGCUAAAAACACAAACAACAAGCUCCAUAUGAAACAAGGUGUACACAUUGUUGGACAUCGGUCAACCUGGUUAGGCAAAGAGCCAAGCAUUGCCUCAAGGUGCACCACUGGAGAUAUGGAUGUUUCCACUAGAAUCCGCAUUCCUAUCAGAUGCAAGUAGAAGUUAUCUUUAUAUCCUUCACGCAUAUGACAUUAUUUUUCCCAUUAAUUCUUGGUGUGUGUCAACAACUGCAAUGAAAAGAAAGAAGUUUCUUCACCAUUAUCAUAGCAAAAAUAAAAGCAAUUAGUUACACUUGUGAUCUUUUAGCAUUACUUGUCAAUUAAGUUGCAGGGGAACUUGAAACAUUCAACUUUUAGCUGGUUUUAAAACCGAGUUUGAGUUAUAGUAUAAUAGCAGGGGUGCAUGAACACAUGAUUUCAUCUUGAAAAUAGAAAUUUUUGGGACUUGUGCUUUAAAAUCUCUCUCUGAUGGUUAAAGAAGCUUACUUCACCUUUUUCUGGGAUGAUUGCUUAGUAUUAUGCAGAGAAGCAAGCACUUGGAGUUGUAGACCAGGAGCUCCUCGACACUCAGGUGAACCCUGCUGUGUGGGAAAUUAGUGGACAUAUGGUGCUUAAGCGAAGAAAAGAUUACAAUGAUGCAUCAGAGGAAUAUGCAUGGAAACUUCUUUCUGAAGUUUCUUUAUCGGAGGAGAGAUUUGAAGAGGUGAAGGGUUAUAUUUCUGAAGCAGCUGAUUUGCAAGAAGCGGGGGAUAAAAGCAUCAAUCCAGAACCAGAGAAGGAAAUUCCAGAUUCUCCUGGUCCUCAAGUUGCCUCACAUAUGCCUCAAGAUUGUUUGGUAUUACACUGAGGAAGUUGUGGCCUGCCCGCUCUUGCAGGAUUUAAUAAAGGUUGAAGUAUCUAGUAUUUUUGUGUGCUACUUUUUGCACGUCUUGUUCAAUGCGUAUUGUUGUAGCAGUUGGGAGUUGGUAAUCCCCAAAUAGUGUUUUGUACAUAUGCUUUGUUUUUAAUGCCUGCGAGCUCUAGCCUUUGGCUGGGUUGUUUAAUAAAUACUACAGUACUUUUUUGUUGGUGAUUAACUGAUUAAUAACACCACUUGCCCCAGUUCUUGUUACAGCUUAAUUGUGUUUCUAG